rnacentral:lncRNA from 1 species
UCAGACCUGGAGAAAAGAUCCGAAGCAAUUUUAAAUUAAGACUAUAUUCCCAGACCUGUCAACACUAUAGUAUGAAUCACGGAACUGAGUACUUUCAUUAUUACUCACCAAACUUGCAAGUGUGUCUGCUGACAUCUCCGUGCUCAAUCUGCUGGACUAUUGAUGUGAGCACUGCUGUGCUCCAGAGGAGUUCUUAGCAUGUCCCAGUGAUGUUCAAAAUGUAACCCGAUUGCAAGGGUUCAUGAGGAAACCAAGGAUUGCCCGGCCAGGCUCAAGUCUUCCUCAUCCUUCUUCCUUCUGCCAUCUUUUGAGAAUGGUCACCGUAAGUGGCAUGAUUUGGUAACCGGAGGUCCUGAGCACAAAGGUUCUCAAACCUGAACAGAUAUCGGAACCACCCACCUGGAGGGCUGGGCACACUGAUUGUUUCCCGAGUUUCUAACUGAAGGCUGGCCCUUGUGACCUGCCCACCUCCUCUUCUGUCUCCUGGAGGCUGGCCCUGGUGACCUGCCCACCUCCUCUUCUGUCUCCUGGAGGCUGGCCCUUGUGACCUGCCCACCUCCUCUUCUGUCUCCUGGAGGCUGGCCCUGGUGACCUGCCCACCUCCUCUUCUGUCUCCUGGAGGCUGGCCCUAGUUGCAGGAAAACAGGCUUAGGGCUGCCACUGAUUCUACAUUAUGGUCGGCACAAAGUCGUGGCUUUGCCAUCUGACGGAGGACGCGCAGCGGUCGUCUCUGGCUGGGUAGACUGAGACCUGAACGCUGAGGGACUUAGGACCAGCAGUGCCGUCCAGGCCUGGCUGCAGACGGAAACUACUUCAAGAUAAGCUCCACCAAAAAUAGAGAGGAAAUCAAGAAGAUUAAGACGCAGGAUCCAGCGCAACGCUCCAGCACAGGAGAGACCAAAAGAACGUUUGACAAUCCACUGACUUCCUAGAAAACAGAAGAGUGGGCUGGGCAUGGUGGCUCACGCCUGUAAUCCCAGCACUCUGGGAGGCUGAGGUGGGUGGAUUACCUGAGAUC